GUCUUGGUGGCUCAGUUAGCAGAGCGCUGGAGACGCUGGAGUGUCGAUCCAGAGGCCGUGAGUUCAAGUCUCACCCAAGGCA